rnacentral:rRNA from 1 species
AGUGAACGCUGGCGGUAGGCCUAACACAUGCAAGUCGAACGGCAGCACCGUAAGAGCUUGCUCUUACGGGUGGCGAGUGGCGGACGGGUGAGGAAUACAUCGGACUCUACUUUUUCGUGGGGGAUCACGUAGGGAAACUUACGCUAAUACCGCAUACGACCUACCGUUGAAAGCAGGGGAUCUUCGGACCUUGCGCGAUUGAAUGAGCCGAUGUCGGAUUAGAUAGUUGGCGGGGUAAAUACCCACCAAGGCGACGAUCCGUAGCUGGUCUGAGAGGAUGAUCAGCGACACUGGAACUGAGACACGGUCAAGACUCCUAAGGGAGGCAGCAGUGGGGAAUGUUGGACAAUGGGCGCAAGCCUGAUCCAGCCAGACCGAGUGGGUGAAGAAAGCCUUCGGGUUGUAAAGACCUUUUGUGGGGAAAGAAAAGCAGCAGGUUAAGACCCCGCUGUUCUGACGGUACCCAAAGAAUAAGCACCGGCUAACUUCGUG